ACCAUGGCUUGAUGUCUGAGGACAUAGUCAUC
rnacentral:piRNA from 1 species